AGUGAACGCUGGCGGCAGGCCUAACACAUGCAAGUCGAGCGGAAGCGCGGGGGCAACCCUGGCGGCGAGCGGCGGACGGGUGAGGAAUUCGUCGGAAUCUGCCUUUUUGUGGGGGAUAACGUAGGGAAACUUACGCUAAUACCGCAUACGUCCUACGUGUGAACGUGGGGGACCGCAAGGCCUCACGCAGAAAGAUGAGCCGACGACCGAUUAGCUAGUUGGUGGGGUAAAGGCCUACCAAGGCGACGAUCGGUAGCUGGUCUGAGAGGAUGAUCGGCCACACUGGGACUGAGACACGGCCCAGACUCCUACGGGAGGCAGCAGUGGGGAAUAUUGGGCAAUGGGCGCAAGCCUGAUCCAGCCAGGCCGCGUGUGUGAAGAAGGCCUUCGGGUUGUAAAGCACUUUUGUCCGGAAAGAAAACCCUGGAGCUAAUACCUGCGGGGGAUGACGGUACCGGAAGAAUAAGCACCGGCUAACUUCGUG
rnacentral:rRNA from 1 species